AAUGAUAAGAAACAAAUAGGUGCUUAUUGGCUUAAUAAAGGAAGUUGGGUGCGAAUCCCACACAGCAAUGCUACUGUAUUGUGGACGAAAUUACAAUAGCCACUGGGAAACUGGGAAGGUGUAAAAGUAGGUUGAAACUAAGUCAGGAGACUUACCAUUAUUUUAUAUUAAACU
rnacentral:ncRNA from 24 species